rnacentral:rRNA from 1 species
UAAGAAGGGGGCUAGCGUUAAUCGGAAUUACUGGGCGUAAAGCGCACGCAGGCGGAUUUAUAAGUUAGGGGUGAAAUCCCGGGGCUCAACCUCGGAAUUGCCUUUGAUACUGUCUAUCUUGAGUCCGGGAGAGGUGAGUUGAAUUCCUAGUGUAGAGGUGAAAUUCGUAGAUAUUAGGAAGAACACCAGUGGCGAAGGCGGCUCUCUGGCCCGGUACUGACGCUCAUGUGCGAAAGCGUGGGGAGCAAACAGG